rnacentral:rRNA from 1 species
AAGUAAAAGUCGUAACAAGGUUCCGUAGGUGAACCUGCGGAAGGAUCAUUAAUGAAUAAACUAGGUAGGUGUUGCUGGCUCCUAGGAGCAUGUGCACACCUACCAUUGUUUCAUUCUUUCUCCACCUGUGCACCUUUUGUAGGCUUGGAUACCUCUCAAGGAUUUGAUUUACAUCAGUCCUUGGAUUCUUAAGGAUUGUUUUAAUACAAAACUUCCCUUUGCAUUUCCAGUCUAUGUUUUAUAUAUACAUCCACACCCCAUUAGUAUGUUUUAGAAUGUUUAUACUUGGCCUUUAUUUUAUAUUGGCUAUAAAAACUUAUACAACUUUCAACAACGGAUCUCUUGGCUCUCGCAUCGAUGAAGAACGCAGCGAAAUGCGAUAAGUAAUGUGAAUUGCAGAAUUCAGUGAAUCAUCGAAUCUUUGAACGCACCUUGCGCUCCUUGGUAUUCCGAGGAGCAUGCCUGUUUGAGUGUCAUUAAAUUCUCAAUCCUCUCUGUGUUUAUUCAUUUAUCCUCAGUUGGGAUUGGAUAUGGGGGUUUUUGCUGGCUUUGCAGUCAGCUCCUCUUAAAAAUAUUAGCAAGACUUUUGUUGCAACCUUCUAUUUGGUGUGAUAACUAUCUACAUCAUAGAUUAUGUGCACUUUGUAAUGUCUGGCUUCCUAACAGUCCAUUUACUUGGACAAAC